AGUUCGAUCAUGGCUCAGAUUGAACGCUGGCGGGAGUACUUUACACAUGCAAGUCGAACGGCAGCACGGACUUCGGUCUGGUGGCGAGUGGCGAACGGGUGAGUAAUGUAUCGGAACGUGCCUAGUAGCGGGGGAUAACUACGCGAAAGCGUAGCUAAUACCGCUACGCCCUUCCCAGGAAAGCGGGGGACCUUCGGGCCUCGCACUAUUAAACGACCGAUAUCGGAUUAGCUAGUUGGUGGGGUAACGGCUCGCAAGGCGACGAUCCGUAGCUGGUUUGAGAGGACGACCAGCCACACUGGGACUGAGACACGGCAGACUCCUACAGGGAGGCAGCAGUGGGGAAUUUUGGACAAUGGGGGAAACCCUGAUCCAGCCAUCCCGCGUGUGCGAUGAAGGCCUUCGGGUUGUAAAGCACUUUUUUAGCGGAAAGAAACGGCGUAGGGAUAAUACCCCGUGCAACUGACGAGCACCUGCAGGGCCAGCACCGGCUAACUACGUGCCAGCAGCCGCGGUAAUACGUAGGGUGCAAGCGUUAAUCGGAAUUACUGGGCGUAAAGCGUGCGCAGGCGGUUCGGAAGAAAGAUGUGAAAUCCCAGAGCUUAACUUUGGAACUGCAUUUAACUACCGAGCUAGAGUGUGUCAGAGGGAGGGUGGAAGAAUUCCGCGUGUAGCAGUGAAAUGCGUGUGUAGAUAUGCGGAGGAACACCGAUGGCGAAGACCAGCCUCCUGGGAUAACACUGACGCUCAUGCACGAAAGCGUGGGGAGCAAACAGGAUUAGAUACCCUGGUAGUCCGCUACAAACGAUGUCAACUAGCUGUUGGGGCCUUCGGGCCUUGGUAGCGCAGCUAACGCGUGAAGUUGACCGCCUGGGGAGUACGGUCGCAAGAUUUAAACUCAAAGGAAUUGACGGGGACCCGCACAGCAGUGGAUGAUGUGGAUUAAUUCGAUGCAACGCGAAAAACCUUACCUACCCUUGACGUAUCUGGGUCGAAGAGAUUUGGGAGUGCUCGCAAAGAGAACCGGAACACAGGUGCUGCAUGGCUGUCGUCAGCUCGUGUCGUGAGAUGUUGGGUUAAGUCCCGCAGCGAGGCGCAACCCUUGUCAUUAGUUGCUACGAAAGGACCUCUAAUGAGACUGCCGGUGACAAGCCGGAGGAGGGUGGGGAUGACGUCAAGUCCUCAUGGCCCAUAUGGGUGAGGGCUUCACACGUCAUACAAUGGUCGGGACAGGGGGUCGCCAACCCCGCGAGGGGCCAAUCCCAGAAACCCGAUCGUAGUCCGGAUCACCAGUCUGCAACUCGACUGCGUGAAGUCGGAAUCGCUAGUAAUCGCGGAUCAGCAUGUCGCGGUGAAUACGUUCCCGGGUCUUGUACACACCGCCCGUCACACCAUGGGAGUGGGUUUUGCAGAAGUAGUUAGCCUAACCGUAAGGAGGGCGAUUACCACGGUAGGAUUCAUGACUGGGGUGAAGUCGUAAAGGUAG
rnacentral:rRNA from 1 species